GGAAGUUGAUAAGAUCUGGUGGUCUUCGCGGUCUUCAAAACCGUUGGGCGUGUAGAAGCGUCGGGAGGUUCGAUUCCUCCCUCUUCC
rnacentral:tRNA from 1 species